AGGAAAUCCCUGUAACAUCUUUGAAUGAAAUGGAUAUUUAAAAAAAGCAAAGAGAAAUCAAUCCAUCAGUCCCGAGUUCCACAUUGGACUGCCUUGAAUUACAUCUGAAAGAAAACAUUGUCUUUCUGAAGCUUUACUGUUAUCAUCUGAUGCACACCCUGUGCAUGGCUGGGGAACAUGAGCAUGAACAGUACAUGACCAGAGGAAAGAAAUUGGAAUGGCAGAUAUAACUUUCACUUAUCCGGAAGACCAAAAAGUGGUUAACAGUGCUCUUGCAGCCCAUGGAUAAGUAUGUGUGUUGUGGUACAGUUCUAGGUUCACAGCUGAACAGCAGUCUAUUCACCAUGGUCUCUCUGAGCAUCAUAAUCUGUAUUUCCAGUGAUCCUUGCCAAGAAUUUAUUAUUUUAGAUAUUAUUGGAAAUACAGAAUGGGGAAUAAUGGGAGCAAGGAUCUUGGGGGUCCUGUAUCCAGCUGAGACCCUGCUCAGUUUA